rnacentral:tRNA from 1 species
GGAGUUUUAGCUCAGCGGCAUAAGCGCCUGCCUUGCAAGCAGGCAGUCGUGAGUUCGAUCCUCAGUACCA